GUGGGGAGUGACGUCAAAUCAUCAUGCCCCUUAUGACCUGGGCUACACACGUGCUACAAUGGUUGGUACAACGAGUUGCGAGUCGGUGACGGCGAGCUAAUCUCUUAAAGCCAAUCUCAGUUCGGAUUGUAGGCUGCAACUCGCCUACAUGAAGUCGGAAUCGCUAGUAAUCGCGGAUCAGCACGCCGCGGUGAAUACGUUCCCGGGCCUU
rnacentral:rRNA from 1 species